rnacentral:rRNA from 1 species
GUAGGGUGCGAGCGUUAAUCGGAAUUACUGGGCGUAAAGAGUGCGUAGGCGGUCCCGCAAGUCCGCUGUGAAAGCCCCGGGCUUAACCUGGGAAUGGCAGUGGAAACUAUAGGACUUGAAUCUGGCAGAGGGGGGUGGAAUGCCACGUGUAGCAGUGAAAUGCGUAGAGAUGUGGCGGAACACCGAUGGCGAAGGCAGCCCCCUGGGCUGAGAUUGACGCUCAGGCACGAAAGCGUGGGGAGCAAACAGGAUUAGAUACCCUGGUAGUCCACGCCCUAAACGAUGACAACUAGGUGUUGGGGAAGCGAUUUCUCAGUACCGCAGCUAACGCGUGAAGUUGUCCGCCUGGGGAGUACGGUCGCAAGAUUA